GAUGAAGAACGUAGCGAAAUGCGAUAAGUAAUGUGAAUUGCAGAAUUCAGUGAAUCAUCGAAUCUUUGAACGCACAUUGAGCCCGCCAGUAUUCUGGCGGGCAUGCCUGUCCGAGCGUCAUUUCAACCAUCAAGCCCCCGGGCUUGUGUUGGGGACCUGCGGCUGCCCGCAGGCCCUGAAAACCAGUGGCGGGCUCGCUGUCACACCGAGCGUAGUAGCAAUCACCUCGCUCAGGGCGUGCUGCGGGUUCCGGCCGUUAAACAGCCUUACAAAACCCAAGGUUGACCUCGGAUCAGGUAGGAAGACCCGCUGAACUUAAGCAUAUCAAUAAGCGGAGGA
rnacentral:misc_RNA from 1 species